ensembl:processed_transcript AV026068 expressed sequence AV026068
UUCGCUAUUAAAAUAUUUCCCCCCAAUACUGAAGAAUCUUAAACCAGCAACCCUAACAGAGAUUGCGAAGAUUUUCAAAGUGGGGCACCUCGAUUUCUCGAAUCUGUGGUGUGGCGAAUAUCCGUGUUCCUCCUGCUUAACUAGCCUGUUUGAAGGCACAGUUCAUUCUCGAGCAAUUCGUCACCUCCUGGGGGUCUUCUCUUCCCGUCUACAGGAGAGUGUGACUUCAGAAAGAACUUCGGAUUGGCCAAGGCCAUUAAAGCUGGUGAGCGACUUGGAAGUCAUUUAGAAAGGAACAGACCUUCAACCUCAAGCCUUUGCGGGCACUGGGAAAGUGUCUUCCCAAUCAAUCUGGCUUGCAGGCGGCAGGACCAACUCUGACCUGGCUUAUCUUGUACCCAUCCUAAAUACACCAAACUCAAGAGGUAGCCAGGGCCGCCUCAACACCGAGGCAGGUCUGAUUCUAUUUAUUCUAAAGACAGAGUUGGAGAUGGGCUACCAUUGGUGUUGAUUGAGAUGACAAGCAGUCACCUGAGCCCAUACAGCUGGGUUCACAGAUGUGGCUAGUCUUGCUAGCCAGCUCGCACUGUGGACAUUCUAGGGAACUGACUGCAGUCCUCAUGCUUGGAGUCAAACACUUUAACCACUGCACACGUUUAUGUAGUAGGAUUGACAUAUGAGAAUCAGAGAAAUGAAUGAAAGAUUAGAGUGGGAGAAAGUGCUUGCUGCCAAGCUUGAUGACCUAAAUUGAAUACCUGGAACCUACACGACAGAAAGAGAGAGCUGACUGCUGAAAGAUGUCCUCAGAUCUUCACAUGUGCACAGUGGCACCUAUCCAACCAUGCACAUAGUAUAUUAAAAAUUAUUUUUUAAAAAA